GCACCGGUGGUGUUGUGCGUAGCAUCUCUGCCUGGAAAGCAGAAGGUGCAAGUUCGAGUCUCGCCUGACGCA
rnacentral:tRNA from 1 species